UGACAGUACUCCUACGGGGAGGCAGCAGUGGGGGAAUAUUGCACAAUGGGCGCAAGCCUGAUGCAGCCAUGCCGCGUGUGUGAAGAAGGACCUUCGGGGUUGUAAAGCACUUUCAGUCGUGAGGAAGGUAGUGUAGUUAAUAGCUGCAUUAUUUGACGUUAGCGACAGAAGAAGCACCGGCUAACUCCGUGCCAGCAGCCGCGGUAAUACGGAGGGUGCGAGCGUUAAUCGGAAUUACUGGGCGUAAAGCGCAUGCAGGUGGUUUGUUAAGUCAGAUGUGAAAGCCCGGGGCUCAACCUCGGAAUAGCAUUUGAAACUGGCAGACUAGAGUACUGUAGAGGGGGGUAGGAAUUUCAGGUGUAGCGGUGAAAUGCGUAGAGAUCUGAAGGAAUACCGGUGGCGAAGGCGGCCCCCUGGACAGAUACUGACACUCAGAUGCGAAAGCGUGGGGAGCAAACAGGAUUAGAUACCCUGGUAG
rnacentral:rRNA from 1 species